UACAUCCGUGAUUCGUUACACAUUUCUUGUGUUUCUCAUCACCGUCGGUAAUGUCUACUAUCUCUCUUCAUUUUUAUUAAAAAACUUUUAAUUACAAAUUCAUAGAAAUGGUUUUGUUGCUAAACAAUUAGCAUGUCCGAGUAAAUAAUAUAAAACCCCUAAUAUUACUUUUUAAUGUUUAUGGGGUUCUUUUGCUAUUUGUUACGAUAAAAAUGCGACAACAAGAGAGAGAGAAAACACGUUAUAGAUUGUAGAUUUAUUGAUCAUUUAAAUGAUCAUUAGUUAGUGUAGCAUAGUAUUACUUCAAUACAAGUGGUUGAGGGGUUAAAUAUUGUAUGAAACUGUGAUUUAAUUUAGAAAUUGAUUAGAAUAUAUGUGUCGUUCUAAAAAAUGAUUAUUAUCAUAUGAAAAGUCAUACAUGUUUUUCCAAAUUUGUAGGUGUGGAGUCGCUCAUGGCCCCAAUUUGUAGUGACACUCAUUUUUUAGCGCCAUGUGAACGAUAUACAUGUAUUCACGUAUGUCAAAGACUACAUGGAUAUUAUGCUAUUGGAGCAUGCAACAAUGCAGUUGUGUGCCGUUGUUAUUAUGAUUGUAAACUUGAGGCCAGGAAUCAUACUAGCCGCGAAGACGCUCAUGUACCUUUUCACCCUAAUGGUGCCCCUCAUAGUUUGCCUACUAUUAAAUGAGAAUAAAAAACUCUAAUGUCUAAUCACUACAAAUGUCAUUUAAGAUUUUUUAAGACAUUGCUUAGUUAUGUGAUAUAUAUUAUGGA
rnacentral:lncRNA from 1 species